CCUGGGUUACAUACAUAUCUGACCAAAAAAAGGAAAUGACGCCAGAAUAGGAUCAAAGAUUCUUGUAAUACUAAUAAGUCUCACGCUGAGUGUCACAAACUACCUGUAGCAAGUAGAAAUAGGUGAUUUUUAAGUUAUCUAUUCCUAAGGAUAGGCCAACUUCAAAUGACUGGUUUUGAGUGUUGGCUCUCCCUCACCACACUCACUCACUCUUGCAGGUGGAGAAGAAGAAGGGGAGAGGAAGAAGAAGCUCUGGAAGAGCACACACGGCAGUGGAGCUGCUUAAAAACUAAGCUGCAGCUGCUCUCUCCUUUAUACACAACCAAGUCAAGGUGAGUCAUUUACAAGGUGGAGAAGAAGAAGGGGAGAGGAAGAAGAAGCUCUGGAAGAGCACACACGGCAGUGGAGCUGCUUAAAAACUAAGCUGCAGCUGCUCUCUCCUUUAUACACAACCAAGUCAAGGUGAGUCAUUUACAAGGUAUGGCCUUACAGUGCUUUGCAGCUUCUAACACUACUUGUUACUGCUGCUGCUACUACUUGCUACUGCUGCCAUGCUGCUACUAGCAGCUGCAACUAUGCUCACUAGUCUUUGCCGCCCAAAUUCAAGUGGCAGGCCACGGCAGGUCAAAAAGUAGAGCUACUACUACUAUAAUGAAAAA